GGUCACCACUAUUGGGAUUCGAUUAAGCCAUGCGAGUCGAGAGGGUUCGGCCCUCGGCAGACGGCUCAGUAACACGUGGAUAAUCUGCCCUUAGGUGGGGGAUACCCUCGGGAAACUGAGGAUAAUACCCCAUAGAUCCAGACUGCUGGAAUGCUUUUGGAUCGAAAGCUUCGGCGCCUAAGGAUGAGUCUGCGGGCUAUCAGGUAGUAGUCAGGGUGAUGACCUGACUAGCCUACGACGGAUACGGGUUGUGAGAGCACUAGCCCGGAGAUGAUAUCUGAGACACGAUAUCAGGCCCUACGGGGCGCAGCAGGCGCGAAAACUUUGCACUGUGCGAAAGCACGACAAGGGGAUCCCAAGUGCUAGCUCGUAAGAGUUAGCUGUUUCCCUGUCUAAAAAACAGGGAGAGUAAGGGCUGGGUAAGACGGGUGCCAGCCGCCGCGGUAAUACCUGCAGCCCAAGUGGUGGCCGUUAUUAUUGGGCCUAAAACGUCCGUAGCCGGUUCUAUAAAUGCCUGGGUAGAUCGUACGGCUUAACCGUACGAAUUCCGGGUAGACUGUAGGACUUGAGACCGGGAGAGGCUAGAGGUACUCCUGGGGUAGAGGUGAAAUUCUGUAAUCCUAGGGGGACCACCAGUGGCGAAGGCGUCUAGCUAGAACGGGUCUGACGGUGAGGGACGAAGCCCUGGGGCGCAAACGGGAUUAGAUACCCCGGUAGUCCAGGGUGUAAACGCUGCUCGCUUGAUGUUAGUCGGGCUCCGAGCCCGACUAGUGUCGGAGAGAAGUUGUUAAGCGAGCUGCCUGGGGAGUACGGCCGCAAGACUGAAACUUAAAGGAAUUGGCGGGGGAGCACCGCAACGGGUGGAGCGUGCGGUUU
rnacentral:rRNA from 1 species